UUAAGAGAGAGAGAGGAUAAACAUCAAAAUAGCUUCUCAUUGGAAAGACUGUGGAAUAAUCUAAUACGUGAAGACACGGAAGUCCGAAACAAAUGUAGUAUAAAUUCCUUCCCAGAGUCUUUGCAGAUACAAGCAUCGGCCACAAUUAACUUCAGAAGCUGAAUAUUUCUAAGCAACUGGUAUCAGCUUCCAGAAGAAGCUGGGGGCAGGGGGAGAGGCAGGUUAAAAGGGAUAGUUUCCAGAUAAUUCGGUGUUAACACUCAUUCAAAAGCAUGUAAGGGGAGGAGACAAAAGAACACUUUUAUUUUCAGUUCGGUGUGUGAAGUGAGCACACUGGAACCCCCCAAAAGUGCAGUUCUGGCAAUCUAGACAGUAGCCUGUUCCUGGAUGGAUAGUUUUCCGGUCGAGACAGAUAGUUGGUUUAAAUCUGCCUCAGGUCUGAAGUGACUGGAAAUCAACACCAGAUAAUGGCUGUUUGGUAGAUGAUGUGACAUGGGUUAAUGCACUCGGCCAAAUUUCUACUGGAUAUUGGACAUGCGCUCACAUUACAAAUGCUUCCAACAGCAUGCUCAGUAUUAAAUUAACAUCUAUGCUGACAAUCUUGCCAAAGAAAUCCAGAAGAGGAUGGACAUUAGUGAUGAACUGCACGUUCACCUUUGGAGUGAAGUCAUUAGCAAGCUUUCGUCAUGUGGCUGGAGCCAACUCUCCCGAAUUUGCAAAGAUCGACAGCUCCAGAGCUCACUGGGCCCCAUCCAACGCUCACAGGCCGUGAUGGAGGCAUUUCCAUGGAGCCGGACAGACGGUGGAUCACGACCCGGACUCAGGAGGCUGGAGAGAUGGGACCGUCCGAUACUGAGGAUUCAAGUGUGAGAUACGGGAGAGGCAGAAGCAGUUCCAAGUUCUGCCAUA
rnacentral:lncRNA from 1 species